UUUUGAGAUAUAAUCCAUAUUUUGUUUAGAGACGGUUUUUAAUUUUAUGGGGUUAUUUAUAUUACCUUUUGCAUCAUGAUCUGUUGAUGGUUGUUACGGUUUGUAGUAAUCCGAAAGAUGUCGAUAUCUAUUUUCGUUGCUUAGUGAUUUUUUUCUAAGGCGGGUAGCCUAGAUGAAAUGAGGAUAGUGUUUUGAUAAAUAAUUCGGGUCAUCUAAUAUCUGGUUGGGGGUCAUUUUUUUGAUUUAUUUAGUUAGCUAUGGUGUUAAUUAAAGGAUUAUAGCAUUAUUUAGAUUGAGAAAUCUCUUGGGUUAAAGUUACCCCCGAGGAUUGUGUGUGUUAUUACUCUUUUUUUUUCUGUUUUGCUUAAUUUUAGUGGCUCUCUUUAUAAUAUAUGUUGAUUAGUAUGAUAGAAUAAGUAGGUUUUGAAUACUUUCAUUUUUUCUCGAUUGCUUUCGGUCUGUUUAUUAAAAACAUUUCUAUCUUUUUUUUUGGAUAGUAGUGCCUGCCCAAUGCUUAUGUUAAUGGCCGCAGUAUCUUGACUGUGCUAAGGUAGCAUAAUUAGUUGCCUCAUAAUUAGGGGAUUGUUUGAAUGGUUUGACUAGGGGGUUUGAUUAGAUUGGGAGUUUUUCUGAAAUUAGUUUGUUGGUGCAGAACCCAACAGGUGUUAGUUAGACGGAAAGACCCCGAGAUCUUUAUGUUGUGAUGUUUACUUGGGGCAAGGUCAUAUUUUUUAUGUGGUUGUUGAUCCUAAGGGAUUAUAGGUAUAAGUUACCUCGGGGAUAACUAGGUAAAAGACAAGGAGAGACCUAAUCGAUUUGUUUAAUUGCCAUCUCGAUGUUGACUUGGGAAAUAUAUUAAGGUGCGGAUUUUAAUAUUUGGUCUGUUCGACCGCUAUUCCCUCAUGAGUUGAGUUAAGACCGGCGUGAGCCAGGUCGGUUCUUAUCUACUUUUGUUGUAAAUUAGUACGAAAGGAUUGUUUACAUUUUAUG
rnacentral:rRNA from 1 species